rnacentral:rRNA from 1 species
GACGAACGCUGGCGGCGUGCUUAACACAUGCAAGUCGAACGGAAAGGCCCUGCUUGCAGGGUACUCGAGUGGCGAACGGGUGAGUAACACGUGGGUGAUCUGCCCUGCACUUCGGGAUAAGCCUGGGAAACUGGGUCUAAUACCGGAUAGGAGCCAUUUUUAGUGUGAUGGUUGGAACGUUUUUUCGGUGUAGGAUGAGCUCGCGGCCUAUCAGCUUGUUGGUGGGGUAAUGGCCUACCAAGGCGGCGACGGGUAGCCGGCCUGAGAGGGUGGACGGCCACAGUGGGACUGAGAUACGGCCCAGACUCCUACGGGAGGCAGCAGUGGGGAAUAUUGCACAAUGGGAGCAAGCCUGAGGCAGCGACGCCGCGGGGGGGAUGACGGCCUUCGGGUUGUAAACUCCUUUCGCUAGGGACGAAGCUGUUUGUGACGGUACCUAGAGAAGAAGCACCGGCUAACUACGUG